ACGGGAGGCAGCAGUGGGGAAUAUUGCACAAUGGGGGAAACCCUGAUGCAGCGACGCCGCGUGAGUGAAGAAGUAUUUCGGUAUGUAAAGCUCUAUCAGCAGGGAAGAUAAUGACGGUACCUGACUAAGAAGCCCCGGCUAACUACGUGCCAGCAGCCGCGGUAAUACGUAGGGGGCAAGCGUUAUCCGGAUUUACUGGGUGUAAAGGGAGCGUAGGUGGCGUGGCAAGUCAGAAGUGAAAGCCCGGGGCUCAACCCCGGGACUGCUUUUGAAACUGUCAUGCUGGAGUGCAGGAGAGGUAAGUGGAAUUCCUAGUGUAGCGGUGAAAUGCGUAGAUAUUAGGAGGAACACCAGUGGCGAAGGCGGCUUACUGGGCUGUAACUGACACUGAGGCUCGAAAGCGUGGGGAGCAAACAGGAUUAGAUACCCUGGUA
rnacentral:rRNA from 1 species